CCUACGGGAGGCAGCAGUAGGGAAUAUUGGACAAUGGGGGCAACCCUGAUCCAGGCAUGCCGCGUGUGUGAAGAAGGCCUUAGGGUUGUAAAGCACUUUAAGUGAGGAAGAAAAGAUUUAAAUUAAUACUUUAAGUCCCUGACAUUACUCACAGAAUAAGGACCGGCUAACUCCGUGCCAGCAGCCGCGGUAAUACGGAGGGUCCAAGCGUUAAUCGGAAUUACUGGGCGUAAAGCGCGCGUAGAUGGUUUAUUCAGUUGGGUGUGAAAUCCCUGGGCUCAACCUAGGAACUGCAUUCAAAACUUAUAAACUAGAGUACGAAAGAGGAGAGUAGAAUUCAUGGUGUAGCGGUGAAAUGCGUAGAGAUCAUGAGGAAUACCAGUGGCGAAGGCGACUCUCUGGUUCGAGACUGACAUUGAGGUGCGAAAGCGUGGGUAGCAAACAGGAUUAGAUACCCUGGUAGUCCACGCCGUAAACGAUGAGAACUAGCCGUUGGAUCUUUAGAUUCAGUGGCGCAGCUAACGCAUUAAGUUCUCCGCCUGGGGAGUACGGCCGCAAGGCUAAAACUCAAAUGAAUUGACGG
rnacentral:rRNA from 1 species